rnacentral:rRNA from 1 species
UACGUAGGGGGCUAGCGUUGUCCGGAAUCAUUGGGCGUAAAGAGCGUGUAGGCGGCCCUGCAAGUCGGAUGUGAAAUCCCACGGCUCAACCAUGGAAGUGCAUUCGAAACUGCAGAGCUAGGAGUCCUGGAGAGGAAGGUGGAAUGCUUGGUGUAGAGGUGAAAUGCGCAGAUAUCAGGAGGAACACCGGUGGCGAAGGCGGGUCUCUGGGCAACACUGACGCUGAGGAGCGAAAGCGUGGGGAGCGAACAGG